GCAUUUAUAGGGGGGUGCGCGGAUUAGGUAGAUUAAAUAGAUUUAGUAGGUUUCUAGUGAAUCUAUUUUUAUUAGUGCGUGGAUAUUUUGUUUUAAUAUCUUUUAAUAAUUUACUUUUUUCGUAAGAUAUAUUCAUUAAUUAUUUUAUCCUGUAGUAAUUACAGAGUUACAAAUUCUUGUAUAAUAAUUUAUCCUAUCUGUACUAUAAUAUAUAUCUAAUUCUAGAUUUUCAAUGUUAUUUAUUAUCUUGUGUUGUUCUUCUCGUAGUGAGUUUUUUAAAUUAUAUAAACUAUCACAUGUAUUUUUAUCUAAAUUUUCUAAGGUUUUUUCUAUCCAUGCUAAUUUUUCUUUUAGGUCUUCUAUUAUUUUUCUAAUUCGGUUUCUAUAACUAAUUUCAUUAUUUAGAUUUUCUUGAUUUUCUCUAGUUUGUCUAAUAUAUUCUAACAUGUUUUUAGUCUGAAUAAUAUUCUUCUGGGUAAAUUUCUUCGUAUAACUGUUCUAGAUAAUUGGUAGUUUCAUUUUCAUAGUUUAUUAUUUCUUCUAAUAUUAUUUUCUUAAUAUCCAUAAUUUCUAUAUUUUUAAGUAUAUAUAAUAUUAAAACUUUAAGAUAAUCUAAAUGAUCUAUUUUUUAAAAUUGGUUUUAUAAUAUUUUGUAGUUGUUUGUUCUAGCCUUAGUAGUUUUUGCAUAUUUUUAUUAAGAAAUUUUAUAUCUUU
rnacentral:lncRNA from 1 species